AAGAGAUAAAUCAAAGUUGAAAGAUCAAACAGAUUCAGUUCUCCUUUGGUCUUCAUUUUUAGCCUAGGUCUAUACAUUCAAAAAUUAAACUAAAUUAAUUCAAUCUUUCUCUUGUUUAAAAAUACAGGUAUCCCUUCCACAUGAUGACUUUCUCCAUCAAAGUUUCCAUAUAUUGCGGAAAUAUCCAACUCAGACCUCUUCUAACAUCAAGAUGAAAGUAACCAGAAAAUAAGGUUAUGGGAAAAAGUACAAUUUCUGGGGAAAAACACUCUCUCCCGUCACCAACCUCACAAUUUCGGUGACGGG
rnacentral:lncRNA from 1 species